CCUACGGGAGGCAGCAGUGGGGAAUAUUGCACAAUGGGGGAAACCCUGAUGCAGCAACGCCGCGUGAGUGAAGAAGUAUUUCGGUAUGUAAAGCUCUAUCAGCAGGGAAGAGAAUGACGGUACCUGACUAAGAAGCCCCGGCUAACUACGUGCCAGCAGCCGCGGUAAUACGUAGGGGGCGAGCGUUAUCCGGAUUUACUGGGUGUAAAGGGAGCGUAGACGGUUCUGCAAGUCUGAAGUGAAAGCCCGUGGCUUAACCGCGGAACGGCUUUGGAAACUGUGGAACUGGAGUGCUGGAGAGGCAAGCGGAAUUCCUAGUGUAGCGGUGAAAUGCGUAGAUAUUAGGAGGAACACCGAUUGCGAAGGCAGCUUACUAAACUGCCACUGACAUUGAUGCUCGAAAGUGUGGGUAUCAAACAGGAUUAGAUACCCCAGUAGUC
rnacentral:rRNA from 1 species